rnacentral:rRNA from 2 species
GCUGGUCUUUGGAGCGAUGUGGUACCACCUCUUCCCAUUCCGAACAGAGAAGUGAAACGCAUCAGCGCCCACGAUACUGGGUUUUCCCGGGACAAUGGGUCAAGGCCAGCA